UAAGGUGUAAGUUAGGUGUGUAAGGUGUAAGUCAGGUGUUUAAGGUGUAAGUCAGGUGUGUUAGGUGUGUAAGGUGUAAGUCAGGUGUUUAAGGUGUAAGUUAGGUGUGUAAGGUGUAAGUUAGGUGUGUAAGGUGUAAGUCAGGUGUUUAAGGUGUAAGUUAGGUGUGUAAGGUGUAAGUCAGGUGUUUAAGGUGUAAGUUAGGUGUGUAAGGUGUAAGUCAGGUGUUUAAGGUGUAAGUCAGGUGUGUAAGGUGUAAGUCAGGUGUGUUAGGUGUGUAAGGUGUAAGUCAGGUGUUUAAGGUGUAAGUUAGGUGUGUAAGGUGUAAGUCAGGUGUUUAAGGUGUAAGUCAGGUGUGUUAGGUGUGUAAGGUGUAAGUCAGGUGUUUAAGGUGUAAGUUAGGUGUGUAAGGUGUAAGUCAGGUGUUUAAGGUGUAAGUUAGGUGUGUAAGGUGUAAGUCAGGUGUUUAAGGUGUAAGUCAGGUGUGUAAGGUGUAAGUCAGGUGUUUAAGGUGUAAGUCAGGUGUGUUAGGUGUGUAAGGUGUAAGUCAGGUGUUUAAGGUGUAAGUUAGGUGUGUAAGGUGUAAGUCAGGUGUUUAAGGUGUAAGUCAGGUGUGUAAGGUGUAAGUCAGGUGUGUUAGGUGUGUAAGGUGUAAGUCAGGUGUUUAAGGUGUAAGUCAGGUGUGUAAGGUGUAAGUCAGGUGUGUAAGGUGUAAGUCAGGUGUGUUAGGUGUGUAAGGUGCAAGUCAGGUGUUUAAGGUGUAAGUCAGGUGUGUAAGGUGUAAGUCAGGUGUGUAAGGUGUAAGUCAGGUGUUUAAGGUGUAAGUUAGGUGUGUAAGGUGUAAGUCAGGUGUUUGAGGUAUAAGUCAGGUGUGUUAGGUGUGUAAGGUGUAAGUCAGGUGUUUAAGGUGUAAGUCAGGUGGGUUAGGUGUGUAAGGUGUAAGUCAGGUGUUUAAGGUGUAAGUCAGGUGUAUAAGGCGUAAGUCAGGUGUUUAAGGUGUAAGUCAGGUGUAUAAGGUGUAAGUCAGGUGUGUAAGGUGUAAGUCAGGUGUUUAAGGUGUGUUAGGUGUGUAAGGUGUAAGUCAGGUCUUUAAGGUGUAAGUCAGGUCUUUAAGGUGUGUUAGCUGUGUAAGGUGUAAGUCAGGUGUGUAAGGUGUAAGUCAGGUGUGUUAGGUGUAAGUCAGGUGUUUAAGGUGUAAGUCAGGUGUGUAAGGUGUAAGUCAGGUGUGUAAGGUGUAAGUCAGGUGUUUAAGGUGUAAGUCAUGUGAUUAAGGUGUGUAAGGUGUAAGUCAGGUGUUUAAGGUGUAAGUCAGGUGUGUUAGGUGUGUUACGUGUGUAAGGUGUAAGUCAGGUGUGUUAGGUGUGUAAGGUGUAAGUCAGGUGUUUAAGGUGUAAGUCAGGUGUGUAAGGUGUAAGUCAGGUGUUUAAGGUGUAAGUCAGGUGUGUUAGGUGUGUAAGGUGUAAGUCAGGUGUGUAAGGUGUAAGUCAGGUGUUUAAGGUGUGUAAGGUGUAAGUCAGGUGUUUAAGGUGUAAGUCAGGUGUGUUAGGUGUGUAAGGUGUAAGUCAGGUGUUUAAGGUGUAAGUCAGGUGUUUAAGGUGUAAGUCAGGUGUCUAAGGAGUAAGUCAGGUGUGUAAGGUGCAAGUCAGGUCUUUAAGGUGUAAGUCAGGUCUUUAAGGUGUGUUAGCUGUGUAAGGUGUAAGUCAGGUGUGUAAGGUGUAAGUCAGGUGUGUUAGGUGUAAGUCAGGUGUGUAAGGUGUAAGUCAGGUGUGUAAGGUGCAAGUCAGGUCUUUAAGGUGUAAGUCAGGUCUUUAAGGUGUGUUAGCUGUGUAAGGUGUAAGUCAGGUGUGUAAGGUGUAAGUCAGGUGUGUUAGGUGUAAGUCAGGUGUGUAAGGUGUAAGUCAGGUGUGUUAGGUGUAAGUCAGGUGUCUAAGGAGUAAGUCAGGUGUGUAAGGUGUAAGUCAGGUCUUUAAGGUGUGUUAGCUGUGUAAGGUGUAAGUCAGGUGUGUAAGGUGUAAGUCAGGUGUGUUAGGUGUAAGUCAGGUGUGUAAGGUGUAAGUCAGGUGUUUAAGGUGUAAGUCAGGUGUGUUAGGUGUGUAAGGUGUAAGUCAGGUGUGUAAGGUGUAAGUCAGGUGUUUAAGGUGUGUAAGGUGUAAGUCAGGUGUUUAAGGUGUAAGUCAGGUGUGUUAGGUGUGUAAGGUGUAAGUCAGGUGUUUAAGGUGUAAGUCAGGUGUUUAAGGUGUAAGUCAGGUGUAUAAGGUGUAAGUCAGGUGUGUAAGGUGUAAGUCAGGUGUUUAAGGUGUAAGUCAGGUGUGUAAGGUGUAAGUCAGGUGUGUAAGGAGUAAGUCAGGUGUGUUAGGUGUGUAAGGUGUAAGUCAGGUCUUUAAGGUGUAAGUCAGGUCUUUAAGGUGUGUUAGCUGUGUAAGGUGUAAGUCAG